rnacentral:rRNA from 1 species
UUCCAGACUCCUACGGGAGGCAGCAGUGGGGAAUAUUGCACAAUGGGGGAAACCCUGAUGCAGCGACGCCGCGUGAGUGAAGAAGUAUUUCGGUAUGUAAAGCUCUAUCAGCAGGGAAGAAAAUGACGGUACCUGAUUAAGAAGCCCCGGCUAACUACGUGCCAGCAGCCGCGGUAAUACGUAGGGGGCAAGCGUUAUCCGGAUUUACUGGGUGUAAAGGGAGCGUAGACGGUGAUGCAAGUCAGAAGUGAAAGCCCGGGGCUCAACUCCGGGACUGCUUUUGAAACUGUGUGACUGGAGUGCAGGAGAGGUAAGCGGAAUUCCUGGUGUAGCGGUGAGAUGCGUAGAUAUCAGGAGGAACACCAGUGGCGAAGGCGGCUUACUGGACUGUAACUGACGUUGAGGCUCGAAAGCGUGGGGAGCAAACAGGAUUAGAUACCCCAGUA